rnacentral:lncRNA from 1 species
AAUAUGUUUACGUGGAAGUGUUCCUUACCAGAAAAAAAAAGUGUUUACCUAGAAGUGUAUAGCCAGACUAAAAAGACUGAUGACAAAUAUUGAACCUAAUUUGAAUGUGAUAACAGUAACUAAUCUUUAAUCCUGUCUAGUUGGUCAAAAAUAUAAAGAAGAGUAAAUCUCAAACAUAAUAUUAUGAAGAAAAAAGUACUAGUUAAGCUGAGAAGAAACAGAAAUAAGACUGAGCAAUUCCUCAAAAAUAUAAAGAAAAGUAAAUCUCAAACUGUCAAACAUAUAAUUAUGAAGAAACAAGUAUUAGUCAAGCUGAGAAGAAAGAGAAAUAAGACUUUGAGCAAUUCCUUGGGGAAGGAUCCCAUAUGGUGAGCUGCAAACUGCAAAGUGAAGAGAAAGACGGCCUAUCUUCACUUUCGCCAGAAAACGGAGGAAUGUCUCAUUAGUUAUAUAACUAACCAUUCCAUUAAACAAUUAAAAAAUUUACUGGGUGGGGCUGUGGGAUGCUGUAUCCUCACAGGGGGUAACAUAACUUCUGCAGACAUGCCUCUCAUAUUCAUGUUUUAUGCCGCUGGUUGAUGUAAUGAGUAAC